rnacentral:misc_RNA from 1 species
UCCAGCUUAUCGCCGGCAGUUUCCUUAGAGUUCCCAACUUAAUGAUGGCAACUAAGGACGAGGGUUGCGCUCGUUGCGGGACUUAACCCAACAUCUCACGACACGAGCUGACGACAGCCAUGCAGCACCUGUGUGGUAGCCAGCCAAACUGAAGAAAGCCAUCUCUGGCGAUCAAACUACCCAUGUCAAGGCCUGGUAAGGUUCUUCGCGUUGCCUCGAAUUAAACCACAUGCUCCACCGCUUGUGCGGGUCCCCGUCAAUUCCUUUGAGUUUUAAUCUUGCGACCGUACUCCCCAGGCGGGGUGCUUAAUGCGUUAGCGUCGCCACUGAGGUUUAAACCCCAACAGCUAGCACCCAUCGUUUACAGCGCGGACUAC